AAAUUGACAAGAAAUUGUUUGUUAAUAAGAAAAAACAAAAGAUCAGAAAUGUUAUGAAACUAGUCUGUACUUACAAUGCAUUGAUUUGUAAACAAAAUGUAGGUCAAGAAAAUUUAGAAUCAUCAGAAAAAGAAGUAGAUUUGAAUGGGUUAACAGAAGACAAAUCAGAUUUAAAUGAACAGUGUAACAAUGUAACAGAGAGAACAUUGUCAGAAACAGUCUGUGAAUUAGAGGAUAGAGUUGAAUUAAGAAAUGAU